UAUUAUCAUUAUUGUUAUGUAGUUGAAUAAAACAAAUCAGCAAUAUGUUUAGUAUAGCUUUAUUUCAAUAUUUGAUAGUAUUUAUAUGGACGUCAUCACGUGACGUAAAUAAGUGAAUCAGUUUUUCGAAUGAACUGUGCAAAAAGGAACCAUUUCACGGAAAAGGAUCGAACUUCACAGUACUAAAUAUAAUGCCUGCGUCCCAGUGUUCAUACUGUCCAUCCUAAAUUCUAUGUGAUAUUAGUAAUUUUCAAUACUAUUUAGAGCAGAUAGGGUGGAUAGUAUGCACAUUGGGACGCAGGGAAUGAAUCAUUCUUUAGGAAAUGGUUCUCUUCAGUGAAUCGAUCAAACGGCUCGGCAACCGGUUUGAAUCGUUUCGCUAUUCAGGGUGAUUUAACUGAGACGGUUCACUUCAUAUUUUUGAAGCGGUUUCUCAGUCGGCAAACGUAGUAGAAAACUUCGAGAAAGACAAAAAAAGCAUAUAAAAAGCAUACUGAACUCUAUACAAUCUUCUUGAACGCAAACCUGCAAGUUCGUCCUUUAGUUUUUCCAGCGAUGAAGAUUCAUUAUGACCAACACGUGCACGUGCGUCCCGAGAACCCCUCUUACUGCAGACCCAAAUUAUCACCCUUUCAUGAAAAGAGACUGAACAGACUCUGUCAGCGAGGAGAGGGCCGCUUAAGGAGGAUGCCGGUCAGACCAGACCUGAAAAUGUCAGUCUUCUUCAACAAGCUUUGACAUGGACAGAGAGCAGAUAUCCACCUGAAUGCCCUUGAUGAGGAACACACAUGUUUUCUCAGGCCAGGAGAGAGUUUCAGAUUAGAACAUCUGGAGUUUCAUGUUGAAACGGCAUCAUUCUCCCACCGAGACCUGAGUGAAACCAUUAGGCCAAUGAAGACAGAAGAGCAAGUUUGACUGCGCUGACACACGCAGCGUUCCGGUCUGUUUCUGCACCAUUGUUUUCGCUGACAGAAUGAAAACACAAGGCCCAAACAGAUGCAGAAGAAUAAGUGACAGAGGAAAGGAAAACAGAAUUAACCUUGUCUGGCUAAAGUCAUCUUUUCCUCUCCUUCCUCUCGUAGCUCAUACAGACAUAACCUGCCCGGCCCGGAGGGCAGGAGACACACAGAGGGAGAGAGAAAGAGACACGGAUCAUUCCCUAGUCCACCCUUUAAACACCAGCUGGUGGACCUGAACCCCGGUGGAGGCCUCGAUCCCUUACAAAUGUUUGGAUUACAGGAAUGACCCGCUGAAGGAGUGUUUCACUGUUAAGUGGGACAUUAUUCUUGUGGGCUACUCUCGGGCAGAAAGCAAAUUCUAUACCUGUUUUGGCAUAAAGGUUUCAGUGUACAUGUACAGUAUGUGUCAACAAAGAGCUCCUUGUAUUCGAAGUGAACUCGCACACAUUUUCAAGUAAAGAAAAGAUGAAAAGGGGGGAAAAAGACCAACAUCGCCUAGAUGGAGUCAGUCAAUGGAGCCGUCAAGUUAUCAGUUAACUCCAGUGGCAUGUAGUCAGUGGAGCAGAGCAGGAGAGAAAGAAGCGGAGGAGAGGGGAAGAAAGGACAGGAGGGGAGGGCUGAAACAGGACACUGGUUUAGGGUGCGACGGCUGAGUUGAGCUCUUAUCAGCACUUCUCUCUCAAUUACACCGCUAACGCUACUCUCUCACUCUCUUUAUUUCAAUCUCUCCAUUAUUCCACUUAUCUGUGUUGCUUUCUUACCUAGUGCCUUUGCAAAAGGGCAAAUUACGUGAAAGACGAGACAGCAUUUGAACAGAUCCCAAACUGUGAGCUCAAUGAGGGGGUUUGUGUGUGUGAGAGGGAGAGAGUAUUGAAAUUUUGUAAAUCUAUUUUAUAAAUUUUCCUCUGACAAUCUUAAUGAAUAACUUCCAAAAUAGCAGAAGCUUUGUUUUCAAAACUGUUUAAAAAAAAAAAAAAACUCUGCCUGCAACCAUAUAGGGGUUUUUAGAGGUUUUAAGUAUAGAGUAUUUUUAUUUUUAUUUUUUUUAUUUUUGGAAGGUAUAAGUAGCAAAUAAAAUACAAAAAACUUUAGUC
ensembl:lncRNA